rnacentral:lncRNA from 1 species
CACUUCACUUAUUCGGCGAGCUGCUUCAUCUUUCGCCAUUUGCCAAUUCGCCGCCGUCGCUGCCGCCCUAGAGCCAACACAUUAUCUUACACUAAACACACACUUUUUUGUUUAUUUUUAGUCAAUCACAACAACACUACACUGCACAUCACUUCACUUUUUUGCCAAGCAUCCAUUUCUCGCCAUAUCGCCAGAUUCUCAUUAUUGCCAUUUCGCCGCCUCAUGUACGCCAACCCGCCAUUUUCGCCUUUUUGCCAAUUCAACGCCGCCAUUUACGCAUUGUACGCCAAGCUGCACAUAUUCGCGUUUUUGCCAAUUCGCCGCCGCCAUGUACGCAUUGUUCGCCAAGCUGCCAUAUUCGCCUUUUUGCCAAUUCGCCGCCGCCAUGUACCCAUUGUACGCCAAGCUGCCAUAUUCGCCUUUUCGCCAAUUCGCCACCGCCAUGUACGCAUCGUACGCCAAGCUGCCAUAUUCGCCUUUUUGCCAAUUCGCCGAGGCCAUGUACGCCAAGCUGCCAUUUUCGCCUUUUCCCAUAUCACCAACGCCGCUGCUGCUCUGGAACCAACACAUUUUCUGCACUAAACACUACACUUCACUUGCACUUUCACUUUCACUUACACUUUCACUUUCACUUGCACUUACACUUUCACUACACAACUGCACAUCACUUUACUUUUUUAUUUAUUUCCCGAGAUUCCCGAUUUGUACGGAUAUAAACGCGGAGACGACGACAUGCGACCCGCACCCGGCACCGGUU